UACGUAGGGCGCAAGCGUUUGUCCGGAAUUAUUGGGCGUAAAGAGCUCGUAGGCGGCUUGUCACGUCGGGUGUGAAAGCCCGGGGCUUAACCCCGGGUCUGCAUUCGAUACGGGCUGGCUAGAGUGUGGUAGGGGAGAUCGGAAUUCCUGGUGUAGCGGUGAAAUGCGCAGAUAUCAGGAGGAACACCAAUGGCGAAGGCAGAUCUCUGGGCCGUAACUGACGCUGAGGAGCGAAAGCAUGGGGAGCGAACAGG
rnacentral:rRNA from 1 species